rnacentral:rRNA from 1 species
AGCAGCCGCGGUAAUUCCAGCUCCAAUAGCGUAUAUUAAAGUUGCUGCAGUUAAAAAGCUCGUAGUUGAAUUUCGGGAUCAAUAUGUUGGUCGUGCCUCGGUACGUACUAGCUUAUUGGUUUCUUCCUUCUGACGAACCAUAAUGUCAUUUAUUUGGUGUUAUGGGGAAUCAGGACUGUUACUUUGAAAAAUUAGAGUGUUUAAAGCAGGCUCACGCUUGAAUACAUUAGCAUGGAAUAAUGAAAUAGGACGUUUGAUUCUAUUUUGUUGGUUUCUAGGAUCGACGUAAUGAUUAAUAGGGAUAGUUGGGGGCAUUAGUAUUCAAUUGUCAGAGGUGAAAUUCUUGGAUUUAUUGAAGACUAACUACUGCGAAAGCAUUUGCCAAGGAUGUUUUCAUUAAUCAAGAACGAAAGUUAGGGGAUCGAAGACGAUCAGAUACCGUCGUAGUCUUAACCAUAAACUAUGCCGACUAGGGAUCGGAUGAUGUUAAUUUUUAAUGUACUCAUUCGGCGCCUUACGG